rnacentral:rRNA from 1 species
GUCGAACGGGAAAUGCUUUAUUGAAACUUCGGUGGAUUUAAUUUAUUUCUAGUGGCGGACGGGUGAGUAACGCGUGGGUAACCUGCCUUAUACUGGGGGAUAACAGCCAGAAAUGACUGCUAAUACCGCAUAAGCGCACAGAACCGCAUGGUUCGGUGUGAAAAACUCCGGUGGUAUAAGAUGGACCCGCGUUGGAUUAGCUAGUUGGCAGGGCAGCGGCCUACCAAGGCGACGAUCCAUAGCCGGCCUGAGAGGGUGAACGGCCACAUUGGGACUGAGACACGGCCCAGACUCCUACGGGAGGCAGCAGUGGGGAACAUUGCACAAUGGGGGAAACCCUGAUGCAGCGACGCCGCGUGAAGGAAGAAGUAUCUCGGUAUGUAAACUUCUAUCAGCAGGGAAGAUAAUGACGGUACCUGACUAAGAAGCCCCGGCUAACUACGUGCCAGCAGCCGCGGUAAUACGUAGGGGGCAAGCGUUAUCCGGAUUUACUGGGUGUAAAGGGAGUGUAGACGGCGCAGCAAGUCUGAUGUGAAAGGCAGGGGCUUAACCCCUGGACUGCAUUGGAAACUGUUGUGCUUGAGUGCCGGAGGGGUAAGCGGAAUUCCUAGUGUAGCGGUGAAAUGCGUAGAUAUUAGGAGGAACACCAGUGGCGAAGGCGGCUUACUGGACGGUAAC